GAUGAACGCUGGCGGCGUGCCUAAUACAUGCAAGUCGAACGAACAGACGAGGAGCUUGCUCCUCUGACGUUAGCGGCGGACGGGUGAGUAACACGUGGAUAACCUCCCUAUAAGACUGGGAUAACUUCGGGAAACCGGAGCUAAUACUGGAUAAUAUAUUAAACCGCAUGGUUCACUAGUGAAAGACGGUUUUGCUGUCACUUAUAGAUGGAUCCGCGCCGCAUUAGCUAGUUGGUAAGGUAACGGCUUACCAAGGCAACGAUGCGUAGCCGACCUGAGAGGGUGAUCGGCCACACUGGAACUGAGACACGGUCCAGACUCCUACGGGAGGCAGCAGUAGGGAAUCUUCCGCAAUGGGCGAAAGCCUGACGGAGCAACGCCGCGUGAGUGAUGAAGGUCUUCGGAUCGUAAAACUCUGUUAUUAGGGAAGAACAAAUGUGUAAGUAACUAUGCACGUCUUGACGGUACCUAAUCAGAAAGCCACGGCUAACUACGUG
rnacentral:rRNA from 1 species